rnacentral:rRNA from 1 species
UGCGUAGGCGGUCUUUCAAGCCAGAAGUGAAAGGCUAUGGCUCAACCGUAGUAAGCUUUUGGAACUGUAAGACUUGAGUGCAGGAGAGGAGAGUGGAAUUCCUAGUGUAGCGGUGAAAUGCGUAGAUAUUAGGAGGAACACCAGUAGCGAAGGCGGCUCUCUGGACUGUAACUGACGCUGAGGCACGAAAGCGUGGGGAGCAAACA